rnacentral:rRNA from 1 species
UCUUAAAUCAUUGUAUCAAUGGUUCUUGAGAUAACGUAAGGGAUAAAAUUGAUAGUACCUUACUAUAAGUGUUGUCCAACAAUACUGGUGCCAGAAGACUCGGUAACGCCAGAAACGCAAACGUUAGUCGUCCUAAUCAGGCGUAAAGGGUAAGUAGGCUGCUUUGAAAGUUGUUAAUUAGAAAGCUCUUUAAAAAAUUUUUAAAGUAAUUAAUAAUGAAUUAAAGCUAGAAUCAAAUAGGGGAUAAGCCAAAUAAUAUUUAGUGUAAGGCUAAUAUCUUUAGAUACUAAAUGGAAUACUAAGGUGAAAACUUUUAUCUACUAAUGAUUGACGCUGAGGAACGAAGGUGAGAAUAGAAAACAGGAUUAGAGACCCAGGUAUCUCUCACUGUCAACGAUGAAUGGUAGUUGUUAGUUAAACUUAACUAGUAACGAUGUUAACGCGUUAACCAUUCCGCCUUGCGAGUAC